AGCUCUCGGCCUUUUGGCUAAGAUCAAGUGUAGUAUCUGUUCUUAUCAAUUUAACAUUCCAUUUUCCAUUCUUGAGUUUGGAGUAGAGCAACUACUUUGGGAGAUGGUGGUCAGGCAUCCGGACAAUAUGGCCAGUCCAGCGGAGCUGAUGGCGGAGGACCAUUGCUUCAAUAUUGGUGGUCUUUGUUUCU